CUACUGCAGUUUCAUAUGCAAAGCAUGCGUCCUCCACAUCCAUGCUAUCUCCUGAAGCAGUUGUUCUGAAACCCAAUCUGGGGACAGUGCAGACUAAAUAAAAUUUCAUUUUGAUUUGGCCUCCCGCUGCGAAUGGGCCUGCUUUGUCUCAGCGGACAGAAGCAGCAAGCCAGAAAGGUGUUGAAUACUAAAAUACUGACUGAAAGGAAAAUUGAAUAAGUGCUGCUCUGAUGCUCCGGAGAUUUUACUGGAAGAUUUGUCGCGCUGAAUUUUAUUGUAAAUUUGAAGAUGCAGUUAACAGCUUUGAAGGACUUUAGCUUUCAUGGCCCUUGUGAGCUGCUUUGGCAGAAAAGCAAUCGCCCAUUUUAGAGAAGGAGGGAAAAUAGAACAUAAAGACUCUUCCAUGGGACUAAAUUGUUGUGCCAUCUUGGUACAGUUUGUAUAAAAUGCAUUGUGAUGCUUACUGAACUACUGCAAAAGAUGGCUCCUUUUAAACAAUGACCUUCACUGGGAGCCAGGAGAGUCUGGCUGUGUCAAAUGCUCAUCUUACCCUCGUCCCACCUUUCGGAGAAGUAUUGGCGAUGAAGGGACAGCCUGCUGUGCUACUCUCAGAAGACGCUGUAGAUAAGAACUACAGGAAAUGGACCAAGACACUCCUGAACAUGACUCGCUGAGCUGAGGGGACAGUGGGAAGCAGAGACAUUAAAAGAUGGACAUCAGGCAUCCAGCAGGCACAUCUGCUAGGGCCUGAAGCAAUGCAGAAGAGGCUGAGUGUCCAGGAGGUGAGCACGGCCAAUACUCAUGUCCUGGACAACUGUGUUGGUGGAAACUGGCUUCCUUGGCCAGGAGGAACCCCGGGACUCCACUCUGCCCUCACCUUUGUGCUUUACCUUCCUAGCAGCCAAGGUGAGAUCUACAACCCUUGGGGAGACAGUAACUCUGGGCAAGAGGAGAUAAACAGAAUGCAGGGUUCUGGUUUGUCUUCUGAGCAUGCAUCCAACAGGAGGAGAGUUUAGAGAAAUGACUAAACUUACAUCUUAUGUACUACAUGUGCUUUCUCCUUGCCCAUCUUUUCCUUGUAAUGAAUUCUUUUUGUUUUUAUCAGUUUAAUAUAUUUUCUUCAUGACAACCACUUUGCAGUCUAAGUUAGUCGACAAAAAAAUAUCUCACUCCUCAAGGUCUCAAGUUCGAUCCCCAGUACCAAAAACAACAAUAACAACAACAACAAAUAUCACACUCCUACCAACUGACUUCAUACAUGAAAUGAAUAUUUUCUAGAAAAAAUCUCUAUUGAGAAGAAAGCCUCCAGAAAGUUAUGGUUGUAUUCAAGGAAAUGUAUGCUACGGAGAUCAAGCACUCAGGUGAAAUCUAUUGCCUAAAUUGCUGCUGAAGUUAGAGUCACAGGAUGCUUCAUUCUCAGGAAGGAUAUUUUAAAGUAGCCUGGUAAUGCUGCCUUGAGCUCUCUGUGUUCAGCAAUUGGCAGUGUCCUGAGCAUGAGGCCUCCCCAACACCCAGAGGGCUGACCUGACCACCCCAGAAUGUGCUAAGGCCUGAAGCACAGUUUGCAGAUCAUAAACCAAAGAAGGAGGCCAAACCGGGGUCCCAGGCAGAAAGAAAACCUUCACCUUCGCCCUCCAUUAUUGGCCAAGCUGGUGGGAGAGGCUGCUUGUUGACAAGUUAAAUGUCCUAAAGAACCAAGUGAUGAGCUUUCUUGAAAGUGACUGCAUUUAGUCAUGAUUUGGGUCUCUUUACAGGGAGUCCUUGCUCAUAUUCUGAUAAAUCCCCAAAUCACUACCUGAGGACCUUAGUCAAAAUACAGAAUGUGAGCAACAUUAUUCAUCUGAAAUCAAAACCAGAAAGUUCUGCAGGAAAAGAAAAGCAACCUUCUGAAAAAUUUUCAAAGUAAUUCAAAUUUACCGUGAAAAUUGGGCAGAGCCACUAUUAAAAUUUCCGAAUUUUUACUUCUUAUGUACAAUUUCAGGUUUUUUCCCCAAAACCUGAACAUUGCCAUUUACUUCUAAGAUGAUAAUAUGUUAUAUGUAAACAUAAUUUCGAAGCACUUUCAUGUGUGGUUUUUUUAUUUGAUCAUUUCAGAAAUAUUAGACUUUUAUUACCAAAAGACAAGUUCAUUUUAUUAUAACUCAGUUUUAUUAACCAACUGGUAGAAGAAAAGUAGAAUUCAAGCUAUGCAUCAAUAAGGUUCAGAUUUAAUAAUAAACUUGGUCAUGAUAAUAGACUUUUAAAAGUCACCACCACUUAAUACACUUUCAUUGAACUUGCAGAAGUAGGCUUUCAAAUGGGAGUGGAAUAUUCAUACCCUACAAAAAUCAAGACUUCCUCCUUGGGAACAGAGAUUGGAUAUGCCUGACAUAGUUUGUUUGGCUGCCCGGAAAAAUAGAUUCUGUAUUUCUGGGCAGUGUUUAUGUUGAAGCCAGAGCUUUGGAGUGCAGCUGUCCCACUAAACCAUGCGUGGUGUCCAGGACACUUCACAAUCACUCCUGGCUGCAUGAUAGCUUCUCAGUCCCUGAAAAGUCCCAGUAGCUUUGCUUUUCCUUAUAGACACAGCACUUCUCCCAUAGGACUGGAAAACAAUGCAUGAUACCUUUAGAGCAGGUGGGGACAUGGAAGGAGAACACAUAGGCCUCCAUCCACUGUAAGCGUCUCUGUCUUAUGGGUUCCAUGACUUAUCUCUGUGGCCUCAGAAACCAGGUGGGCUGCCCAAGGCAGCUCCAGGCUGCCCCCCAGAUUCUCUCAUGGAAAGUCAGCAAACCCCUGUGAGACCCUGCCUUCCAGCACACUUCUUGCAACUCUGUAGGGUACAAUCAUAAGUGUCCCCAGUUCAGAGAAGAAGACAGAAGGACAUUCAGGGAAAGUGCCAUUUCCAAGGGCCCUGAGUCAGUAAGAAGCAUGAACCUGCACACAAACCAAGUGUUCCAACUCCUUACAGCUGUUGGCUUCAACUCUGGUGAAUUUAAACUAUGUCCUUCUCCUUUUGGUUAAUAAGGCAAGACUUGAGCUCAUGUUUCAAAAGUGAAGGUCAGAUCCACACCUUGGUCACCCAGAGGGGAGCAAAGAGCAGGUGGAGAGAAUGGAGGAAGCACAUGCAACCCACCACUUAAAACUGCACUGUAAAUCAGUACAAAAAUAUAAUUUUGAAGAUAAAAUAUACAUGUGACAAAAUGCCAUCAGAAGCCCCUAGUAUAUAAGAUCUCAUCAGCUCCCACUUUGGAGUCAGAAUCGGCUGAGAAAUGAAAGUGUGGGCCUUGUUGCCAAGAUGAAGGGCUUCAGGACAGUGAUAGCAGAGCAUUAAUCUAUGCACAGGACUUGUGUGAGACCUUGUGGUCUCCACCACACAAAGCCACCUGGUGAUGAUUGCUUUUCUGCAUCCUGCUCAGCUCUGCUUGGUGGACCUGACCUCAGCUCUGCGAAUAGGAAAUGCCCAACGAGGGCUGCAUGUAAGGAGCACACUGCUACUUUGCACUGUGGUUGGUCAUCCGAGGCAUGGCUCAAACAGAGCCUGGAAGACCAUCUAGCAGGGAUGGUGAAGGUGGACUGACCCCCCACAGUAGGACAAGGCCACAGUUAACCUUAGGGUUCUCUUCUCACACUAAAAUUCUGUGGGUCCAAUCAUUUUUUCAUCUUCAGAUUUUUGAAAGGAGUCACUUCUGAUUCAUGAAUACCAUUGAUUUCUUGACACUGGCACUUGACGAGACACAACAAAGUCUCAGUGCCAUUGAACUUUGUGCCUCGGUCACCAGACAUAAGUAAAGGUGGCCCCUCAGCAUGAGAUGCAUGCGUGUGACUUUGCUCAGCAUGGAGGGUGCUUGUUACAAAGACAGCAAAGGAGACAUGGGUAGCUGAUCACUUUGCAAUCUCUGUGCCUGUUGGGGCUAGGCCAAAGUCCAGGUCUCCUUUCCAGAAAAGUAUAGUAACUUUGGAGGUCAGUAUAAUCCUCCCCUAAACUGUGCUGUCAUUCUAGAAAGAGGCUAUGGUCAGACAAUGUUCUAAGGAUGUAUUUGGAAGUGUCCACUGCAGCCAUAAUAAUUGAGAUUCAAAUUCUGAUGAUGCACUAUAGCUAAAUAUAUAUAUAUAUAUAUACACACACAUAUAUAUAUACAUAUAUAUACAUAUAUAUAUAUAUGUGUAUAUAUAUAUAUGUAUAUGGUAUCUUAGACCUUCUGAGAUUGAUCUACAAAGAAACUAGAGCACUCGUAUAGUCCAGAAGAAAAUCAUUCAGAUCUUCAACUGUCCUUGGAUGCUUUGACCAAAGUAACAGGGAAAAAUAUGAAACUGCCAUGGUCUUAUGGUUUUGCUCAAGUAAUGGAAAUCAGUUGUGAUAUUACCAUCUUAUAUCUCCAUUGUGGCCCUGGACCUAUUAAAAUAGACCUCACUCAAGUCAAAUGCACCCUGGGUAGGAUAGGCCAUGGGUUGACCAGUCCCCGCUUGAAUCCAGAGCCAUCCUCCGAUAGCAUUUGCCAUUGCCAUUUUGUUAAUAAAAUAGGGGCAAUGAUAGCUUCUAGCAUCCCAGAUUUUUGUUGAACAAAGCAACACGGAGCCUGAAAGGCAUGUCAAGAGAUCUGACGUAAAUGGAAAUCGCAGAGUAUCAUAAUGCGCACAACAGGUGCACGGAGUAGAUGUUCAGAAUGGUUUCUAUUAUUUGGCUUUUUUGGAAUCAAAUCAGAAUCAAGAACAAUAGUAGCCAUUUCAGAUAAAUUACUUCUGCACAUUCUUGCAGAUUGAGCAGCUGUAAAGGAGGGGGGAGGCAGGGGAUGCUUGCUAUGUGGAAGGUGGAUGCGAAUACAUUUGUAAUGUGUACACAGUGUGCUGAGUAUAUUAAAUUUUUGCCUUUCCUGUGCAAUGAUAAAAGUAGUUUUCUUUCCAGGAUUGCAUGUUUCAUUAAUACCACAUUUUAAUAAUUAAAGAGCACAACACUGGAGGCAAUAAAUAGAGAAGAUAAAAGUUUGCAGACAAUUCAUUAUUUUUCUCAGACAGUUCCUCUGAAGAGCCCACAUGGAGAUGCAGUUUAAUGAUUUAAGUUCUAAAAUGGGUUGUUUAAUAAAAUAUUGGGUGUUUAUGUCAUCUCGCUGUACCAGGCAGCAUCCUUCCCUGCAUCAGGUAUGGUGGCAUUGAUGCCAGCAGUGAGGGAUGGGCUGGUCCCCCACACACAUGCACAUACAUAUGCACAUAUACACAUCACAUGCAUCAUUAUCCACUCUGAACCACUUGCCGGCUGUUUUUGUGGCUUUAGAGUUGCUGUUUGGAAUGCUGAAUGCUGGGAAGUGAGAGAUUUGUUGUCUUUUUAAUCCUCUCUGUUAGCAUUUUCUAUUUUAUUAGACAUAAUUCAGAGAGACAGAAAGACAGGGAGGCAGACACUGGUGAAGGGGGUUGUAUAAUUGGGUGUAGUGGGAUUAAACUAUUAUUAGCGCACUCUCCUAAUGGAUGCUCCAUGAAGAACCCAUGGCAAAGGCAUUAAUGAGUUAUGAAGGAAGCAGAGGCACACGGGCAGCCCGACUUCCACACACAUUGCUCAGCAACCCCUGGAAAGGAAACCCAGACUCCUGAUGUUUAUGCAGAGUCAUUUUCUCUCAGAAGCCCCUGUUGUUUCUAUCCUCUAACUCCCAAUUCAUGGAAUCUGUCUCACAUGCCAGUCCUGACACUGAGCUUUUGCUUUGACAUGGGGGCUUCAAUAUGUAAAAGCUAGCAAUUGUCCCUCCCCCCAAAUUCAAAUCUAACAGAGAAUUAGAUACAUGCAUAUCAAAAAUGGCCUCUUCUUUGAUUUAGAAAAAAAUUAGCAAGAUAUGUGAACACCAAUG